GACGAACGCUGGCGGCGUGCUUAACACAUGCAAGUCGAACGAAAAGGCCCUGCUUGCAGGGUACUCGAGUGGCGAACGGGUGAGUAACACGUGGGUGAUCUGCCCUGCACUUCGGGAUAAGCCUGGGAAACUGGGUCUAAUACCGGAUAGGAGCCAUUUUUAGUGUGAUGGUUGGAAAGUUUUUUCGGUGUAGGAUGAGCUCGCGGCCUAUCAGCUUGUUGGUGGGGUAAUGGCCUACCAAGGCGGCGACGGGUAGCCGGCCUGAGAGGGUGGACGGCCACAUUGGGACUGAGAUACGGCACAGACUCCGACGGGAGGCAGCAGUGGGGAAUAUUGCACAAUGGGCGCAAGCCUGAUGCAGCGACGCCGCGUGGGGGAUGACGGCCUUCGGGUUGUAAACUCCUUUCGCUAGGGACGAAGCUUUUUGUGACGGUACCUAGAUAAGAAGCACCGGCUAACUACGUG
rnacentral:rRNA from 1 species